AGGGCUGUAGCUCAGCAGUGAAGCACCUGCCUUACAUGCAGAAGGUCCCAGGUUCAAUCCCCAGUGGCAUUU